rnacentral:rRNA from 1 species
GACGAACGCUGGCGGCGUGCUUAACACAUGCAAGUCGAACGGAAAGGCCCCCUCUUGCUGGUGUACUCGAGUGGCGCACGUGUGAGUAACACGUGGGUGACCUGCCCUGCACUUCGGGAUAUGCCUGGGAAACUGGGUCUAAUACCGGAUAUGACCGCUCUUUGGUGUGUGUGGUGGAAAGGUUUUUAUAGUGUGGGCUGGGCUCGGGGGCUAUCCGUUUGUUGGUGGGGGUAUGGGCUACGGAGACGGCGACGGGAGGCCGGCCGGAGAGGGUGGACGGGCACAAUGGGACUGAGACACGGCCGAGGCUCCUACGGGGGGCAGCAGUGGGGAAGAGGGAACAAGGGGGGAAACCGUGAUGUAGGGAAGCCGGGUGUUGGAGUAAUGCCCUCGUGUUGUAAGCGAGGUUCGCUAGGGACGAAGCGUGUUGUGACGGUACCGGGAGAAGAAGCACCGGCUAACUACGUG